CUUUUGAAUGUCAUACACAUUAUAGUUUUGUGCUUACACGGGAAACGUCCAAUUUAACAUCUUAACAUACUUAUUACUGAAAACUGGGAACCUACCACGUCACAUGAUGAAGAACAUGGAUCCUCUAGAUACCAUCUUUGGACAUAUCACUGUGGAUUCAACACAUUAUUUACUGGUAUACUCUCUAUAAAGGGAAGACUCUUCAUUUUUUAAAAAACUCAAUCAUAU